AUAAUGACUCUCGGCAACGGAUAUCUCGGCUCUCGCAUCGAUGAAGAACGCA
rnacentral:rRNA from 1 species